AUUGAACGCUGGCGGCAGGCCUAACACAUGCAAGUCGAGCGGAUGAAGGGAGCUUGCUCCUGGAUUCAGCGGCGGACGGGUGAGUAAUGCCUAGGAAUCUGCCUGGUAGUGGGGGAUAACGUCCGGAAACGGGCGCUAAUACAGCAUACGUCCUGAGGGUGAAAGUGGGGGAUCUUCGGACCUCACGCUAUCUGAUGAGCCUAGGUCGGAUUAGCUAGUUGGUGGGGUAAAGGCCUACCAAGGCGACGAUCCGUAACUGGUCUGAGAGGAUGAUCAGUCACACUGGAACUGAGACACGGUCCAGACUCCUACGGGAGGCAGCAGUGGGGAAUAUUGGACAAUGGGCGAAAGCCUGAUCCAGCCAUGCCGCGUGUGUGAAGAAGGUCUUCGGAUUGUAAAGCACUUUAAGUUGGGAGGAAGGGCAGUAAGUUAAUACCUUGCUGUUUUGACGUUACCAACAGAAUAAGCACCGGCUAACUUCGUG
rnacentral:rRNA from 1 species